rnacentral:lncRNA from 1 species
UGUUAAUCAAGCGCCUUUAAUUCAAUUCUGUAAGAAACGGGGAGCAGGGUUGCUUUUUGAAAGAUCCAAAGACUCUUCAACGAGAAGCUGAGUGUGUUCCAUAGGACUUGGCAGGUCACACCGGUGACUUGUGGCUGUCAGCCAGCAGCGUGGGCCAAGAGAUGUAGAACACAAGCCAGCAGUGUCAGUCCCCAAAUCAAGGCACACCUGACCAGGCAAGGAUGUAGGAGCAUCGCUGACGGAAAAGCAGGACCCUGAGAACUGUUGUUCCUGGUUUUGGGACACUUGAAAGAGAGCAUCUCCCAGUGGCAAAGAUAAGAGCCCACGUCCUUCCUGCAUCCUGUGGCUGUGCAUUCUCAGCCACAAGAGUCAGCGAGUCCCCUUCCAGAGAGAAGUGAUUUGGACAAUGCAUCUUGGACUGAUGCUGCUAACCCAGCCUUAUCCAAGGGAAGUGGGUGAGGUCAGAAGACAGGGAAAGGACUUGUCUGCUGUCAGGAGGAUGGUGAAAUUGGCACAUCAGAUAGAGCUGAAUGCUGCUGUAAAGAUCAGGAAGGGGCAUUUGGAUUUUCAUUAUGAAAAAGCUGCAAAGGGAAUACAUGGCUGUUCUGAUAUUUUAAGCUAGCAAUGAUGAAGUAAGCAGAAGUGAAAAUAAAAGGAAAGAAGAGGUUUGAGAUGAGAGGAGG